GUUGGUUGUUUGGCUCCAGGCACCCACAGCCAACGCUUCCCACCCACCCGCGAGCCCUUUGACGACCGCGCUCCAGGAGCUAUCGGCUAGUCAAACAGGUGUGGCACAAACGCCCCUUAUCGGCCGAGCUCCCUCCCUAGGGGCACAGAGGCCGGGCUGGGAACAGCGGGAGCUGGCGUGUGCAGAUGCCAGGGUAAAUCUGGGGUGUGUGGCACCCACCUCCAGAAAGCCAAUAUAAGGAGGCCAUGAACUGAGGUCUCCAGCUUCAGCGGUUGGCCCAGGGAAAGACGUUCUGCCGAGAUCCCCAGCCACGAUGCUCCAGUUCCUUCUCCUCGUGGUGAUUGGCGCCAGCGUCUGCAGAGGUCAAGACCAAGCUGUAGCAGCCUCGUUCUCCGGGCUCUAUGGAGGCACUGGGGGGGACGAAUUCUCCCAAACCAAUUUUGAGAUUGUUGGGCCCAUCACUGCAAUGAAGAUCUGGACGGGCAUCCUGACCCUCCACGGGUGAGAUCUGGGACAG